AGACGCUCGUAGUCGGAUUUCGGGGCGGGCCGACCGGUCUGCCGAUGGGUACGCACUGGUCGGCGCGUCCUUCCUUCCGGAGACCGUCCCUACUCUUAACUGAGCGGGGGCGGGAGACGGAACGUUUACUUUGAAAAAAUCAGAGUGUUUCAAGCAGGCAGUGCGCUCUUGCAUGGAUUAGCAUGGGAUAAUGAAAUAGGACUUUGGUGCUAUUUUGUUGGUUUCGAACACCGAAGUAAUGAUUAAAAGGGACAGUCAGGGGCACUCGUAUUCCGCCGAGAGAGGUGAAAUUCUCAGACCAGCGGAAGACGAACCACUGCGAAAGCAUUUGCCAGGGAUGCUUUCACUGAUCAAGAACGAAAGUUAGGGGAUCGAAGACGAUCAGAUACCGUCGUAGUCUUAACCAUAAACCAUACCGACUAGGGAUUGGAAGAUGCUCACAUAUCGACUCUUUCAGCACCUUACGGGAAACUAAAGUCUUUGGGUUCCGGGGGGAGUAUGGUCGCAAGGCUGAAACUUAAAGGAAUUGACGGAAGGGCACCACCAGGUGUGGAGCCUGCGGCUUAAUUUGACUCAACACGGGGAAACUUACCAGGUCCAGACAUUGUGAGGAUUGACAGAUUGAGAGCUCUUUCUUGAUUCGAUGGGUGGUGGUGCAUGGCCGUUCUUAGUUGGUGGAGUGAUUUGUCUGGUUAAUUCCGUUAACGAACGAGACCUUAGCCUGCUAAAUAGUGA
rnacentral:rRNA from 1 species